UUGACCAAUCAGCUCUUGCGCUCGGGUGACGUCGGCAUGACGUAUUUAUGAAAAAUGGCGGCUACGCGCAGCAGUGAGUUCGGCGACUUGGUUCAAAUUAAAAAGCAACUUAUUUCUAUUAUAGCGCAGUGUAAGGAAAGAGGACUCGUCCACAGUGUGAAAUGGGCAUCAGAACUGGCUUUUUCUUUGGAUGCGCUUCCUCUGAACGAGAUCCCUCCAGCGCCGGAGCUCACCGAGGAGGACGCCCGGGAUU